rnacentral:rRNA from 1 species
UCCCUUAGUAGCGGCGAGCGAACAGGGAAGAGCCCAGCGCCGAAUUCCGCGUCCCAAAGGGCGUUUGGAACAUGUGGCGUUUAGGAGGAAUCUCUCCGAGGGCAGACGGUGUCGCAAGUCCCCCUGAACGGGGCUGUGAUCCAGAGCGGGUGCGAGGCCCAUAGCUGGUACCGUCUCCUUCGGGUGUCCCCUCCUUGGAGUCGGGUUGCUUGGGAGUGCAGCCCUAAUUGGGUGGUAAACUCCACCUAAGGCUAAAUACGUCCGUGAGACCGAUAGCAAACAAGUACCGUGAGGGAAAGUUGCAAAGAACUUUGAAGAGAGAGUUCAAGAGUACGUGAAACCGCUCAGAGGCAAACGGGUGGGCCCACGAAAGCCGAAGGCGGGGGGAUUCAGUCGAGAGGAUGGUGGAGCAGGACUGGCUGGUCGGACGGACCGUGCCAGGCCGGGUCAGUUCCCGAGAUCCGCUGCCUUUCGACGCAUUUCCCUCUGCUUAGUAGGACGCCGCAACCGGUUGGUGCUGCAGCCAUAAGGGUGAGUAAAUGGAAGGUAGCCAGUAAGUUCUUCUUCGGAGGCGCAAGCUGGUCCUAAGCCUACUCUCCUGGUGCUUGUGGCUCGACCGUGGUCGUGAGUCCCUGAACGGGAUGUUGCCGAGCUCUCUGACUGGAGCAGGAGAAGUGGCAGGCUGCUUUCCGUGGAAAAAAUCGGUYGCUUCACGCGUGCAGUGAGCGAUCUCCGGAGGUAGCUGCUGGUGCGUUUUUCUCCUGCGAUGAGCACAGGCAGUUGGCGGCGAGUAGGUCGGUCACCCACCCGACCCGUCUUGAAACACGGACCAAGGAGUCUAACAUGUGCGCGAGUCAUUGGGUCUUGAACAAGCCCAAAGGCGCAAUGAAAGUGAAGACCAGCACUGAAGCUGGUGGAGUUGGGAAACUGUGUCACUGAAGGUACAGUUGCACCAACGGCCCGUCCCGUCCGCAUCGUCGGUGGGGCGGAGCGAGAGCGUACACGUUGGGACCCGAAAGAUGGUGAACUAUGCCUGGGCAGGACGAAGCCAGAGGAAACUCUGGUGGAGGUCCG